AUCACGUCGAAACACCCAUUCCGGUACGAUCAUCGAAGUUAAGCAACGUCGAACCCGAUCAGUACCUAGACGGGUGAACGCUUGGGAAUAUCAGGUGCUGUAAG